UUUUACCUACGGGACGCAGCAGUGGGGGAUAUUGCACAAUGGGGGGAACCCUGAUGCAGCGACGCCGCGUGGGUGAAGAAGCGCCUCGACGCGUAAAGCCCUGUCAGCAGGGAAGAAAAUGACGGUACCUGAAGAAGAAGCCCCGGCUAACUACGUGCCAGCAGCCGCGGUAAUACGUAGGGGGCAAGCGUUAUCCGGAUUUACUGGGUGUAAAGGGAGCGUAGGUGGCAUGGCAAGCCAGAAGUGAAAACCCGGGGCUUAACCCCGCAGAUUGCUUUUGGAACUGUCAGGCUGGAGUGCAGGAG
rnacentral:rRNA from 1 species